CUCUGCGAUCGGCAUCGUCAUCCGUGCUGCGUGAGGACUGCGAAGUCUCUCGCACAGCCCGACAUGCAUCGAACAUGGUUCUUGCCUUUUACCAGAACCAUCCGGGUGCCGUCCAGGCUAUGCG
rnacentral:snRNA from 1 species